UACGUAUGUCGCAAGCGUUAUCCGGAUUUAUUGGGCGUAAAGCGCGUCUAGGCGGUUUGGUAAGUUUGAUGUGAAAAUGCGGGGCUCAACGCCGUAUUGCGUUGGAAACUGGCAAACUAGAGUACUGGAGAGGAGGGCGGAACUACAAGUGUAGAGGUGAAAUUCGUAGAUAUUUGUAGGAAUGCCGAUGGCGAAGGCAGCCCACUGGACAGAGACUGACGCUGAAGCGCGAAAGCGUGGGGAGCAAACAGG
rnacentral:rRNA from 1 species